rnacentral:rRNA from 1 species
GCGAGUCUGCCUUGAAGAUCGGAGUGCUUGCACUCUGUGAAACAAGAUACAGGCUAGCGGCGGACGGGCGAGUAACACGUGGGUAACCUGCCCAAGAGAUCGGGAUAACACCUGGAAACAGAUGCUAAUACCGGAUAACAACAGAUGAUGCCUAUCAACUGUUUAAAAGAUGGUUCUGCUAUCACUCUUGGAUGGACCUGCGGUGCAUUAGCUAGUUGGUAGGGUAACGGCCUACCAAGGCGAUGAUGCAUAGCCGAGUUGAGAGACUGAUCGGCCACAUUGGGACUGAGACACGGCCCAAACUCCUACGGGAGGCAGCAGUAGGGAAUCUUCCACAAUGGACGCAAGUCUGAUGGAGCAACGCCGCGUGAGUGAAGAAGGGUUUCGGCUCGUAAAGCUCUGUUGUUGGUGAAGAAGGACAGGGGUAGUAACUGACCUUUGUUUGACGGUAAUCAAUUAGAAAGUCACGGCUAACUACGUGCCAGCAGCCGCGGUAAUACGUAGGUGGCAAGCGUUGUCCGGAUUUAUUGGGCGUAAAGCGAGUGCAGGCGGCUCGAUAAGUCUGAUGUGAAAGCCUUCGGCUCAACCGGAGAAUUGCAUCAGAAACUGUCGAGCUUGAGUACAGAAGAGGAGAGUGGAACUCCAUGUGUAGCGGUGAAAUGCGUAGAUAUAUGGAAGAACACCGGUGGCGAAGGCGGCUCUCUGGUCUGUUACUGACGCUGAGGCUCGAAAGCAUGGGUAGCGAACAGGAUUAGAUACCCUGGUAGUCCAUGCCGUANACGAUGAGUGCUAAGUGUUGGGAGGUUUCCGCCUCUCAGUGCUGCAGCUAACGCAUUAAGCACUCCGCCUGGGGAGUAC